UACAGAGGUCUCAAGCGUUGUUCGGAUUCAUUGGGCGUAAAGGGUGCGUAGGCGGUGUGUCGCGUCGGCCGUGAAAACCUGCAGCUUAACUGUGGCUUGCGGUCGAUACGGGCAUCACUGGAGUUCGGGCAGGGGAGACUGGAAUUCCUGGUGUAGCGGUGAAAUGCGCAGAUAUCAGGAGGAACACCGGUGGCGAAGGCGGGUCUCUGGGCC
rnacentral:rRNA from 1 species